rnacentral:rRNA from 1 species
CCUACGGGUGGCAGCAGUGGGGAAUAUUGGACAAUGGGCGAAAGCCUGAUCCAGCCAUGCCGCGUGUGUGAAGAAGGCCUUCGGGUUGUAAAGCACUUUCAGUGGGGAAGAAAGCCUUGGGGCUAAUACCCUCGAGGAAGGACAUCACCCACAGAAGAAGCACCGGCUAACUCCGUGCCAGCAGCCGCGGUAAUACGGAGGGUGCGAGCGUUAAUCGGAAUUACUGGGCGUAAAGCGCGCGUAGGCGGUCUGAUAAGCCGGUUGUGAAAGCCCCGGGCUCAACCUGGGAACGGCAUCCGGAACUGUCAGGCUAGAGUGCAGGAGAGGAAGGUAGAAUUCCCGGUGUAGCGGUGAAAUGCGUAGAGAUCGGGAGGAAUACCAGUGGCGAAGGCGGCCUUCUGGACUGACACUGACGCUGAGGUGCGAAAGCGUGGGUAGCAGACAGGAUUAGAUACCCCUGUAGUC